AAACUUAGAUGAAAACUCAAUAUCGGAAAUACAACCUAGAGGGUUUGCAGGACCGAAAAAUGUUAACUACAUGCGUAUGUCUAUGACCAAGUUUGAAGAACUAGGACCAGACAACACAGAAGGAUUACAAGUCUUGGACUUAUGGAUGGAAUUUUGUCACUUGAAGGUGUUGCGGCCACAUACCUUUGGGAGAAUCCCCAAGCUGAUUGUUUUAAUACUUACUGGGUGUCACGUGGAGGAAAUUCAACCUGGUGUGUUUCUAGAUUCGACGAAAGAGCAUAUUUCUUACAAACGCAUGAA